rnacentral:rRNA from 1 species
AUUGAACGCUGGCGGCAGGCCUAACACAUGCAAGUCGAACGAGUGGCGGAAGGGUGAGUAAUGUCCGGGAAACUGAUGGAUGGAGGGGGAUAACAACUGGAAACGGCAGCUAAUACCGCAUACCAUGAGACGUGCCCAGAUGGGAUUGGCUUGUUGGUGGGGUAACGGCUCACCAAGGCGACGAUCCCGAGCUGGUCUGCGAGGAUGACCAGCCACACUGGGACUGAGACACGGCCCAGCCUCCUACGGGAGGCAGCAUUGGGGAAUCUUGCACAAUGGGCGCAAGCCUGAUGCAGCCAGGCCGCGUGUCUGAAGAAGGCCUUCGGGUUGUAAAGUACUUUCAGCGGGUAGGCGUUACCCGCAGAAGAAGCACCGGCUAACUCCGUGCCAGCAGCCGCGGUAAUUC